CAAGCUAUGAAUAGUCACCAGAGUUGUGCAACCAGGCAAAUGCUCUUUCCAGCGAAUAGUCCAAGUCAACAAAUGUCCAGAAAUGUCCAGGAAUGAAAGGCAAUAUGCAGUGUGGCGUCUACUUGUCCAAAGAGUGGUGUUCAGGUUGUACCCCGCCGCCUGCCUGUUGACAGGAGGGAUAGGCUCCAGCACUCCCCGCAACCCUCAUGAGGAUAAGCAGCAAAGAAAAUGGAUGGGUUGAUGCAGUAGUCCACAAUCUUCAUGAUGGACCUUAAUGCAUCCUGACACCAUCAUCAUCAUCAUCAUCAUCACAGGCCUGGAACAUUCAACAGCAUCAUUUUCAAGGGGGCUGACCUCACAGUGGCUUUCUCCCGUGUAGGGAGGCUGUCAUUUAUAUUAUUAUUGUCUUGACGUCAAAGUCAGCGCGAUGCCCUUUCCGUCUACGAGCUAAAGUAUUUGAAAAGACGUGCCGCAAAUACCUGUAUGUAAAUCAAACGAAACUUCAAAGAUCAAAACCAUCCUCAUAUGUGAUGCCAUGAUAGCAUCUAAGGAAUGAACUCCACAAGUGUAUUUUGGUUUUGUUUUUGUCUUAAUCACGAACCAUGGAUGUUGAUUCUACUCGUGGUUCAUUGAAUGCAUUUUAUUAAAUACUGCUCAAAACUUGAAUGAUUCGAUGCUGUGGAUGAGAGCAAUGUAUGAAACGGCAAAUAACUCUCCUCCCACUUUUAAGUAUUUUUUUUAUAGGAAGUUGUUUCCAGUAAGUUAUUGUAAUUAAAGUUUACAGUAGCUUACUGGCAACACUGUCUGCAGUGUACAUGACUUAUUUUUGUUAUGCUAUUUCCUGUUGAUGCUGCUAGUAUACUGUAAACCAGAAUGUAUUUCUAAACGAAGCAUUAUUGUUAUAAAAGCAGGAUUAGAGAUAAUAGGUCCCGUAUGCAUGAGGAGCGCUUCCCACAUGUGUGGGUAGGGUGACAUAUUGUCAAGGAAACACCUGAGAUGAGGAGAAAGCCCACAGAUGAGACGAGAGCACCGUUAUUAUUCUCUACCUCUCUUCAAGAGGACGUUCGCUAUGUCGGUGGAGCCGGGAAUUAUAAGGAGAGAAAAAGAAAAACUGGCACAUUUAAUUGAAAGUAUUGCCAUGGUGAAACUCUUCAGUCUCCCACGUAACGUGACUGUAGUACAACCCCCGCCCAAGCUCAUUGCUUUCUGCAGACUUGUGCAUCUCUAAGCACGAGCCAGCAAUGUCGAGUGCGUAAAUGACAGAAUCGCAAAGUUUGGGCUCAUUUAACACUUUAGAAAAUAGUUAUAAUUAUAAUUGGAAUGUGUUUACUCUAAAGCAGAGCUGUUUUACACAAUAGCAAGUCUACAGCAAACUAAUUGAAUAUACUGUUACAACAAAUUGUAAAUCCCUUCACAGGUGGUCAAGGAUAGCCACAGCCACCGGCGUACUUUCAUACACUUAAUUGCAAACGGGGAAAAAAAUAAACACACAACAAGCCCAUUCAUACACUACCUGCACAACCGAUGCUAACCUACAGGCACUGAACACACAGAUUAGACAACAGUUAGCAAGUUAACGGCUAGUCGCUAUCCCAAGCCAACAACAGCCAACUGUACACUUUCAUUUGCGCACCCCCACCUCACUCAACGGACCAGGCGAUGCCUUGAACAGCCGCACACAGGCUAAGUCUCAGAUACCACAGUGGAGAAUGUGACAUGUCUGUCCAACUACAUGAGUACACAAACACAGACAUAGAUUGAUGAAAAAACAGAUCACCAACAUUUUAUGAUUCAUAGCACACGCAUCCAUUCAGCCAUCCAUCCAUUCAUUUUCUGAGCCGCUUAUCAUCAUGAUGGUCGCGGGAGUGCUGGAGCCUUUCCUGGCUGUCAACGGGCAAGAGGCAAGGUACACCCUGAACUGGUUGCCAGUCAAUCAAUCGCAUGGCACAUAGAAACAAACAGCUUCACUCACAAUCACACUGAGAGACAAUUUAGAGUGUCCAAUUAAUGUUGGAUGUUUUUGGGUUGUGGAAGGAAACUGGAGUGCCCAGAGAAAACCCAUGCAAGCACGGGGAGAACAUGCAAACUCCACACAGGCAGGUCAGGGAUUGAACCCGAGACCUCAGAACUGUGAGACCAACCCUUUCCGGCUGAUCCACCGUGCCGCCUCAAUAAGUGCAUACAGCACGAAAAUGUAAGUUUAGUCUCUACAUGUCAUCACUCUCCUUUUCAUCAUUACUGGUACGCUUCCGCAGUGCCAUCAAAAAGUAAACAAAUCGCCAACCCACCCCCACCCCAAUCCCUCCAUUACCAACAAAAACCAACAAAAACAAUAAAGGAAGUGUGGCGUAAUGGACGCACUAGUGGACAUAAUCCUUAAUUAAUUGUGUGACAUGACGCACGUGAUAAAAAUUUAAUUUAUAUAGUGUAUGUAGUGUGUAGUAUAUAGGAGAUGAGCAACACCUCACACACGUAACAAUAUCUCCACUGACGAGCCAGUCUCAUCCCUAAAACCAGAUGUUUGCUGGUAUGUGUAUACCCGCUACAUUGAUGUGCUGUAAUUGGUGAGCAAGGUCACCAACUGGAAUUUAGCACCAGCCUUCACUCUAGCAGCAGCUGAUGCAAAGCUGAGGCCAUUUUUGUGCCUUAUCCUCGAAAUUACUCUGCAAUGCUCUGUUAAGGUCACCCAAACUCGCACCCCGUGUAGUUGUUGGGCUUGUACUGCCAUCUACUGGAGUACCUUGACACAACACCCCAAGGCGGCGUAUGUUAUUGCUCAGUCAAAUUUCUCCAAAAAGCCAAUUGAGACCUUGUUGCACAAAUUGGAACUGCAUUAAGACAAUUCUUCAUCACAUUGCAUAUAUACUUUAAAUUGAACAUUUUGAAGGCCGGUGUCAUCAAAAUGAUCAAAGCUACACAAUUCAGUGCACUUUGUGUUUUUCACAUACUGUAUCAUGAAUAGGCGGCACGGUGGGGAAACUGGUUGAAGCGUUGGCGUUCAAAUCCCAGCCCCGCCUGUGUGGAGUUUGCACGUUCUCCCCGUGCCUGGGUGGGUUUUCUCCGGGCUCCCACAUCCCAAAAACAUGGAACAUUAAUUGGAGACUCUAAAUUGCCCCGAGGUGUGAUUGCGAGUGUGACUGUUGCCUGUCUCCUUGCGCCUUGCGAUUCGCUGGCAACCAGUCCAGGGCGUACCUCACUUCCUGCCCCAAGAUAGCUGGGAUCGGCUCCAGCACUCCUGUGACCCUUGUGAGGACAAGUGGGUCAGAAAAUGGAUGGAUUUUGAAGUGAGCAGCAUGCAGCAGGGCCACACGAUCCACCAUCUGGUUCCCGUCGAGCGACGUGGCGGCAAUGUACAGGAAGAGCCCGUAGAGGACAGGCUUGGGAAUCCACUGGAGAGGAAUGGGCAGCAUGAACGCCGACAAGCCGAUCAGGAUGUUGGCGACCAGCGAGGGUCAGGGGUGGAUUUUCCUGUAAGAUUGUCCUGAGGGAUUAUUCAGUGAGCGAGUCCAUAACCUGGUUCACGUGGCUUUCUUCCACCAGACAACUUAACAUUCGCCUUAGGACGCCAUCCAGAGUGGACGCUCCCUCGUCCAGAAGGACGCUUGCCUGGGCUAGGAAGGCGUCCACGUCUCUGUGGGCACGUACCUCCUCACAAAAGUCCAUUGGCUUCACAUACUACAAGACAAAGCUCUGCAGAUACACAAGUUUACUAAGUCAAUGGAGCAGAAAAAGAAUCAAUUGACACAAAACAAGCCAUUUUGAUUUCAUUUGUUGGCCCUACAUGAGAUAAACAGGAUCUGGAGCUUGAGUUGUUACAGGGAAAUGAGAUUCGCUGGUACUCAGUACAGGGGCAGAUAUAUUCCAGUGGAAUACAAACCUUCUUGUGAUCCCUCCGAGGAUAAGCGGCUCAGAUAAUGGAUGGAUGGAUGGAUGAAUACAGAGCUCCUGGCCAACCCCAACAUGUAGUUAUUCAAAAUAACAACAAUAUAUGACCAAAAUGUGCGUAAUUGUUUGACUGAAUGACUUUAACGUGUUUAAUAAAAUAAAGGUGAAUCCCUGAA